GCAGGAAGGAUGCAAUCGGACGCGAUUAGCAGCCCGGAGGACGGAGCUCGCCGCGGCCGCGGCCCAGAGGCCGCCGCUGCAGCGUUAGAGCGUUGCGCCACGUAGGAAUUCGCCGGACACCGUUCGGGCCUUUCCCACCAGGAUUGCUUCGGAAGACCGGGGAGCUGGGGAGCGACCCCGCUUUCUGGUCCCAAAAGGCUCGGGCUCGGCCAUACAAAGCGGGGAUGAAGGAUUUACUGCGAGGGCGGCAGCCGACCUGACUCGACUUGCUCGACUGCAGCAGCGAGCACGCACUGAGGCACUCUGAUGCUGACGUCACGACGAGGAUGGUCGGCCCGCUCACUUCCUCAGGGGGAGGAUGACAUGGGGCGAAAACAAUGUGCAGGGCAGGUGGCGACGGACGCAGGGAAGAGCAGGUCGCCCGCCAAGUCCGCUGCGACGACAGUGUACAUAGUAUCAUCAAGCUCGCCAGCAGGCGCCGAGAGUACACUCGUCCGCCGGAUAGGAGAAAUAGUAUGCAGAAGAGCAGCUCUGCCGCGGUUUUUUUGGGGGGAGAGGGAGAGCUUCCGACCUUGGCAUGUAAAUGCCGAGCGCUCCCCCUCCCGCGCCCCUUCACUCCUUUGGGCCCCUCGCCUCCUCUUCUUGCCUAUUUUAACUAUGUGAACUAGUGCUCGAGCGCGUGGGAAGGCCAUUCCCGCCACCGCCAAGCUGCGCCAGCAGCAAGCCAGCAGACACGCCGCCAGCGCACGGCCCCACCCAAAUUUGAACAUUUGAACACGUUUGUCGUCUUGCGUGUUGAAAUGUUGGGGCAGGGCAGGGCAUGCAUCACAUUGAAAGGAAUGCCAGGCGAGCGCGGAGUGCGGCUAGAGCGGGGAAAAACAGGCAAAUGGGAGGGGGGAGGAGGGGGCAGAGGGGGCAACCCUUCAUUACUCCAACUCCGCCCAUUAUUGUUCUCAUGCCCCCCCCUUCCCCCGCCCCCUUGCAGCCCUCUGGGGUACGGCCACGCCACGUCCUCCUCGCCGCCACGCCACGCCACUGACGGACGACAGUGACCCCUGCAGCGGGUGUCCUGUUACACUAGCAGAGCAUUCACUUGCCGCGCCUCGUUAUCAAAGUCACGAUUACGAUCAGUCGCUAUAUAUGCUAUAUAUACACUGAACGCGACCAGCUCGACCCACUGCCCCUGACGCGCCGCCGCGCCGCAUGACCAGGCCGGGGACCUUCUUGGCCUGAUGCCGUGAGCUAUCGGACGGCAUCGCCUCGCCUUCCUCACCCAGGAAGAUAACGGAGGGACUGCGUGCCUGCGUAUGGCGUGGCGCGUCCUCUCUCCAACGCACCGACAGGCAGCAGAAGAGUGUGACACGGCGAGCCCGCCAGAGGUUUAGAGAGGCCCUGGUAUUUGGCUCGCAUUGGUCAUCACUAAACAAUGCUCGCUCAUGCCAAACACACAACGAGUUGUGAAGCAAAUAUUCUGAAGGAAGUCAUGACUGCUAAAUCUGCUCUGAGAUGUAACGUCGGAACAAGUUUACUGUACAUUCAUUCUGAUCCCUCAGCAUCAUAGUUCGAGUACGCAACUUUGCAACUGUUCUCAAUGUAACAUUUGUGUUUUAGACGGAGGCAUAAAGUCAAACCCAUAAAGUAAUUAGGAUGAGGACGGUCACAUGAGUUUUAGACAUUAGAGGAAAAGUAGGGAUUAAUAACAUUCAAAUGCAUUCAACUGAUAAAAACAAAAAUAUGGGGUCAGAACGGGUAGAACAAUAAUAAUCCUAGUAGAGCAUUCAAUGGAAAAUUGAUGAAUAAAAUAACAGGAAUUAAAAAUUUCAUUGAAACUGA